GAUGAGGCGAUGCGGCAACAAUACCCUCAUCUGUUUUGACUAGGUAAAUUUUGAGGCUGAAAUUUUCUUUAGGGGGUAGAGUUGUAAGACCCCAAAAUCUAAGUAUUUAUGUUUGUAUGUUAUGUUGCAUAAAUUCAUUGUUGCUUUAGUGGUUGAGUGUCUUGACAAGUGUUGGAGAAGUCUUGGGUUCAAGCUUUGACUUGUACAAAACUUUAUUUUUACUUGAAUAAACCUUGUCUCUAGUCAGUAGGCUUC
rnacentral:lncRNA from 1 species